GCAUAUCAAUAAGCGGAGGAAAAGAAACCAACAGGGAUUGCCUUAGUAACGGCGAGUGAAGCGGCAACAGCUCAAAUUUGAAAUCUGGCCCUCGGGUCCGAAUUGUAAUUUGUAGAGGAUGAUUUUGGUGCGGUAUCUUCCGAGUUCCUUGGAACAGGACGCCUUAGAGGGUGAGAGCCCCGUACGGUUGAAUGCCUAGCCUCUGUAAAUCUCCUUCGACGAGUCGAGUAGUUUGGGAAUGCUGCUCUAAAUGGGAGGUAAAUUUCUUCUAAAGCUAAAUAUUGGCCAGAGACCGAUAGCGCACAAGUAGAGUGAUCGAAAGAUGAAAAGCACUUUGAAAAGAGGGUUAAAUAGCACGUGAAAUUGUUGAAAGGGAAGGAUUUGUGACCAGACUUUUUCUGGGCGGAUCAUCCGGGGUUCUCUCCGGUGCACUUUGCCCAGUAAAGGCCAGCAUCGAUUUUCGGCGGCGGAUAAAAGCAGUGGGAAUGUGGCUCCCCACGGGGAGUGUUAUAGCCCAUUGUAUAAUACGCUGCUGGGGAUCGAGGUACGCGCUUCUGCAAGGAUGCUGGCGUAAUGGUUAUCAAUCACCCGUCUUGAAACACGGACCAAGGAGUCGAACAUUUAUGCGAGUGUUUGGGUGUUAAACCCUCACGCGUAAUGAAAGUGAACGGAGGUGAGAGCCCGUACGGGUGCAUCAUCGACCGAUCCUGAAGUUUUCGGAUGGAUUUGAGUAAGAGCAUAACUGUUCGGACCCGAAAGAUGGUGAACUAUGCGUGGAUAGGGUGAAGCCAGAGGAAACUCUGGUGGAGGCUCGCAGCGGUUCUGACGUGCAAAUCGAUCGUCAAAUCUGCGCAUGGGGGCGAAAGACUAAUCGAACCAUCUAGUAGCUGGUUACCGCG
rnacentral:rRNA from 1 species